rnacentral:miRNA from 1 species
AGCUGCUGACCACUGCACAAGA